CGGGGAUUAGUUUAACGGUAGAAUGCGCGCAUGGGGUGCGUGUGGCCGCAGUUCAAUUCUGCGAUCCCCGA
rnacentral:tRNA from 1 species